UACAGAGGGUGCGAGCGUUGUUCGGAAUUACUGGGCGUAAAGCGCACGUAGGCGGAUAUUUAAGUCAGGGGUGAAAUCCCGAGGCUCAACCUCGGAACUGCCUUUGAUACUAUUGGUCUUGAAUCUUGUUGAGGUGGGCGGAACGGGUCAUGUAGCGGUGAAAUGCAUAGAUAUGACCCGGAACACCGAUUGCGAAGGCAGCCCGCUAAGCAAGCAUUGACGCUGAGGCACGAAAGCGUGGGGAUCAAACAGG
rnacentral:rRNA from 1 species